UAACGAAUCUUCCGCAAUGCGCGAAAGCGUGACGGAGCAAUGCCGCGUGCAGGAUGAAGCCCCUUGGGGUGUAAACUGCUGUCAGGGAUUAGGAACACAAUGACCAGUCCCAAAGGAAGAGACGACUAACUCUGUGCCAGCAGUCGCGGUAAUACAGAGGUCUCGAGCGUUAGUCGGAAUCACUGGGCUUAAAGCGUGCGUAGGCGGAUGUGCAGGCGUCGUGUGAAAGCCCUCGGCUCAACCGGGGAAU
rnacentral:rRNA from 1 species